UACGUAGGGGGCAAGCGUUGUUCGGAUUUAUUGGGCGUAAAGAGCGUGUAGGCGGCCUGUUAGGUCUGCUGUGAAAACUCGAGGCUUAACCUCGAGCUGUCGGCGGAAACCAUCUGGCUAGAGUCCGGAAGAGGAGAAUGGAAUUCCCGGUGUAGCGGUGAAAUGCGCAGAUAUCGGGAAGAACACCCGUGGCGAAGGCGGUUCUCUGGGACGGUACUGACGCUGAGACGCGAAAGCGUGGGGAGCGAACAGG
rnacentral:rRNA from 1 species